CCUACGGGAGGCAGCAGUGGGGAAUAUUGCACAAUGGGGGAAACCCUGAUGCAGCAACGCCGCGUGAGUGAAGAAGUAUUUCGGUAUGUAAAGCUCUAUCAGCAGGGGAGAAAAUGACAGUACCUGACUACGAAGCCCCGGCUACCUACGUUCCAGCAGCCGCGGUAAUACGUAGGGGGCAAGCGUUAUCCGGCUUUACUGGGUGGAAAGGGAGCGUAGACGGCUGCGCAAGUCAGGAGUGAAAGCCCGGGGCUCAACCGCGGGACUGCUUUUGAAACUGUGGAGCUAGAGUGCAGGAGAGGUAAGUGGAAUGCCUAGUGUAGCGGUGAAAUGCGUAGAUAUUAGGAGGAACACCGGUGGCGAAGGCGGCUUACUGGACUGUAACUGACGUUGAGGCUCGAAAGCGUGGGGAGCAAACAGGAUUAGAUACCCCAGUAGUC
rnacentral:rRNA from 1 species